rnacentral:rRNA from 1 species
AAAAGGGCAUUUGGUGAAUGCCUUGGCGAUAAGAGGCGAUGAAAGACGUGGCACGCUGCGAAAAGCUGCGGUGAGGUGCGAGCAACCUUUGACCCGCAGAUAUCUGAAUGGGGAAACCCACCCUUCGGGGUAUCCUGUAGUGAAUACAUAGCUGCAGGAGGCAAACCCGGGGAACUGAAACAUCUAAGUACCCGGAGGAAAGGACAUCAAUUGAGACUCCGUUAGUAGUGGCGAGCGAACGCGGACCAGGCCA